rnacentral:guide_RNA from 1 species
UAACUCGAUGGGUGAGCAAUUAGUGAUAUGAUGAAUU